AUACCAUGUAAUGGACACUUUCUGAGCAGUUCCUUAAACCUCUCCCAUGCCGCAUAGACUAACUCUCCAUCGCCUUGAUGAAAAGAGGUAAUGUCAUUUCUCAGCUU
rfam:Morus notabilis contig7299, whole genome shotgun sequence.